UCCGGCACGACAUUGCUCACAUUGCUUCCAGUUUUCAUGCCAGCCUUGCGCUGGCGUUUUUUU
rfam:Serratia marcescens subsp. marcescens Db11, complete genome